GGUCAUGGAUUUUCGGUGCGCCAGCGUUCUUAUUUUCGUCGGCGCUCAAGUCGGUUUAACUCCAUCGCCUCUCUAACUCUGUCCUUUUCUUCCUGUCUCUCACGACGAGUCAGCUCUCCUCGAAAUACAUCGCCCAUUCGAUAAAGAAAUUCAAAAGAGGAGGAGUCCCGCGCCCUUAAAAAUAGAGCGCGAAGGAGCGAGGCGCAGGAAUUAGUCGCAGCUGGCAACCGCGAGGAGAGCGGGUGCGAGCGAGCGCAGGUCUUCGGCUCAGAGUGCCUCGGGAGCCAGUGAACGGCGGAGAGCCUUUGAAGCUCGGCGCAUCCACGACCUCCAAGUGGUUGCUAGUGUGUGUGAGUGUGAUGAGUGUUUUGGUGCAGUGGUGGAGAGGAUAAAGGUGCCAGUGUGAGGCGGCGUGGCGGCCUUUAGGCACCACUGAAGGAGUCGAGAGCACAAGCGCUGUCACUCCUCAAAACCCCUCCUCCCCCUCCCCCCUUUAGAAGUUGAUGCUGUUGGAGCUGAGUAACGUCCAGCAGGAGCAGUAGAGGCAGCAGAAGGAAAGGGGGACAGCCUCAGCAGCCAGAGGACGCUGAAAGAACUCCUUUCCCCCUUUCCAACGAAGACAAAAUAUUUUCGAGUACCUCCUUGGAGAGAAGAAAAAAUAAGUUUAAGAAAAAUCCAGACACAUGUGACUUCGCAAAUAUCACGAGGAGAAGCAUACCUGCGCCAGUGACCUUAGAGAAAAAAGAGAAAGAAAAAAAGUUCAACCAAGGUCCAAAGCUUUGUGACUUGAAGAGUGAGUGCGAGCCGUCAGUUAGCCAGGAGAAGAAACCACUUGGGUCGAGGAUGAGGGAGCUGCUCGAAAUGGCCAAAGGGACGCCAGGGGACACGAGGGGACUCAGGGGCCUCCUCAGCCUCGAGGACCACCCGGAUUUCAACGAGAUCUUCCAAAGCGGGAACGUCGAGGAUGACUACGACGUCGAGAAGGAGCCAAUCGCAAGUGGCGACGGGGGCGUGUUGACCAACGUGAGGUUGCUCGACCACGCUCAAGGUCGGUGUGUGGACCGAGUGUAACUGGACUUUGGAAACUUCGGCUGCGCUUGUGGACCGGUUGUGCGGAGAGAGGGAGAGGAGAGGAGAGGCGAGCGAGGAGAGAAGGGGAAUGGAGACGAAAGAGCUGGUG
rnacentral:lncRNA from 1 species